rnacentral:rRNA from 1 species
CAGUCGCCACGGUAAUACAGAGGGUGCGAGCGUUAAUCGGAUUUACUGGGCGUAAAGCGUUCGUAGGCGGCUUUUUAAGUCGGAUGUGAAAUCCCUGAGCUUAACUUAGGAAUUGCAUUCGAUACUGGGAAGCUAGAGUAUGGGAGAGGAUGGUAGAAUUCCAGGUGUAGCGGUGAAAUGCGUAGAGAUCUGGAGGAAUACCGAUGGCGAAGGCAGCCAUCUGGCCUAAUACUGACGCUGAGGUACGAAAGCAUGGGGAGCAAACAGGAUUAGAUACCCGUGUAGUCCCUGUCUCUUAUAC